AGUGAACGCUGGCGGUAGGCCUAACACAUGCAAGUCGAACGGCAGCACAGUAAGAGCUUGCUCUUACGGGUGGCGAGUGGCGGACGGGUGAGGAAUACAUCGGAAUCUACUUUUUCGUGGGGGAUAACGUAGGGAAACUUACGCUAAUACCGCAUACGACCUACGGGUGAAAGCAGGGGAUCUUCGGACCUUGCGCGAUUGAAUGAGCCGAUGUCGGAUUAGCUAGUUGGCGGGGUAAAGGCCCACCAAGGCGACGAUCCGUAGCUGGUCUGAGAGGAUGAUCAGCCAAACUGGAACUGAGCAACGGCCCAGCCUCCUAGGGGAGGCAGCAGUGGGGAAUUUUGGAAAAGGGGCGCAAGCCUGACCCAGCCAUCCCGCGUGGGUGAAGAAGGCCUUCGGGUGGUAAAGCCCUUUUUUUGGGAAAAAAAAGCAGCGGGUUAAUACCCCGCUGUUCUGACGGUACCAAAAAAAUAAGCACCGGCUAACUUCGG
rnacentral:rRNA from 1 species